rnacentral:rRNA from 1 species
AACGCUGGCGGCAGGCCUAACACAUGCAAGUCGAGCGGAAACGAUGGUAGCUUGCWCCCCAGGCGUCGAGCGGCGGACGGGUGAGUAACGCGUGAGAAUCUGCCCAUUUGUGGGGGAUAACUCGGGGAAACUCGAGCUAAUACCGCAUAAUCCCUACGGGGGAAAGCAGGGGACCUUCGGRCCUUGUGCAGAUGGAUGAGCUCGCGUCGGAUUAGCUUGUUGGUGAGGUAAAGGCUCACCAAGGCGACGAUCCGUAGCUGGUCUGAGAGGAUGAUCAGCCACACCGGGACUGAGACACGGCCCGGACUCCUACGGGAGGCAGCAGUGGGGAAUCUUGGACAAUGGGGGCAACCCUGAUCCAGCCAUGCCGCGUGUGUGAAGAAGGCCUUCGGGUUGUAAAGCACUUUCAGUAGGGAGGAAGGCUUACCGCUAAUAACGGUGAGUACUUGACGUUACCUACAGAAGAAGCACCGGCUAAUUUCGUGCCAGCAGCCGCGGUAAUACGAAAGGUGCGAGCGUUAAUCGGAAUUACUGGGCGUAAAGCGCGCGUAGGCGGUUUGUUAAGUCAGAUGUGAAAGCCCCGGGCUCAACCUGGGAAUUGCAUUUGAAACUGGCAGGCUAGAGUGCAGUAGAGGGAGGUGGAAUUUCCGGUGUAGCGGUGAAAUGCGUAGAGAUCGGAAGGAACACCAGUGGCGAAGGCGGCCUCCUGG